CGAGUACUGCCCGGUACGUGGCUUCGCAAAAUCCCUGAGGCUAUUCUUCAUCCUAGGGAGCUGUCCCUGCCCGGACCCUGGUCCGGAUCAUAUGGUUCCCACCUGACGUUUGUGGCGUCAGAGGAUUUCCGGCAAACGGCCAUGGUGGUCUCGU
rnacentral:other from 1 species